UUAAUUGAAACCAAAUAGAGGUAAAUUAUUGUUAAUAAUUAAAAUGAAUUUUAAAUUUUCCAAUUAAA
rnacentral:tRNA from 1 species